rnacentral:lncRNA from 1 species
UAAUUUCGGAGACAGAGAGAUACAAAACCAUGAGAUUCAGAGUUAGAAAAACUCAAGUCAUCACUUUCUUUUUUCUGUCUCCGUUCAUGAGCGUAAAGUCGUGCAGUAGAGAGGAAAAAAUUAACAACAAUCAUCGCAUUAAGGCUAGACUGAGCGUUGAUUGAAAAAAUGCUAGUUUAUUAGCAGAAUGGAUACUUCAAGGGUACUGGAAGAAAUGGUCGAUGAAUCCACUGUUCCAGAUUUUGUCAAAUUCUUUUUUGAUCCAGCAAGAAAAGGUGGCGGUUUGAUCUGCAGAAUCCCAACAUGUCGUAAAAAUCUUAUAACUAAGAAACCAUCAAAUUUACAGAGGCAUUUGAAAACCCAACACCCUGACCCAUGGAAACUCUUUGUGGAAGAUAAGGAAAAAAAGAUCAAAAAUAAAAAUUCCAUUGCGAAACGCAGCAGAGAUAGAAGCCUUGAAUCUACCAAAGUUACAAUUAAGUUUUCGAAGGAGGAGCUAAUAUCUUGUUGUGUUGAAAUGUGCACUGUCAAUGCACAUCCAUUGAAUACUAUUAAUUGCCUACUACCGUUCUUUGGUCCCAUCCAAAGAAGUCUCAAAUGCCAAAUAGUAAACACCUCGAGGAUUCGGGAGGAAAUUCGAAAGAAAGCAGAAUCCCUCCGGGAAGAAGUAAAAGCAGAACUGGAAGGUGCGUUUGUGUCUGUAAAGAUCAACUUUGCUUCCAGAAACACCACAAAGCAUUAUCUAACCACCAAUGUGCAGUUUAGUAAAGAUGGAUGUAUUCAGACAAGGCUACUAAGAAUAGUACCGGUAGCAAUCUCAUCCACAGGAGAAGACCUAAAAAAAAAAGUUUUAGAAGUCCUUACUGAAUAUGACAUCCCCCUUAAGCUAAUCUUCUCAUCAUCGAUCAGUAAUGGUGGGAACAUAUGGGAUUAUCCUUCCUUGAAGAUUCAAACGCGAACUGCCCCAACCAAGGAGUGACGAAUCUUUCAGACUGCCUUACUACCGAAGUUGAAGAACAAGUAGAUGCUUUUGCCUCAUAUCGAAGCAGGGAGAUAAGUCUAAAAAUGAAAAGAGACACUCAGGAAGAAGUGGAAUGUAGCAUUAAGGCUGAAGGGUGUGCUGGAAGUGAAGAAAACAGUGAUGCCAGUCAGAAUGAAUUUGCAGAUGAUGAAAACUUGAACAAAUUAUUGUCUGCCACAGACAAAGCUUUGCAGGAAGAAGGUAUAUGCUCAAUACGUUCUGCAGCUCGCGUCCUACAACUUGGUAUUCAGGAUGCGCUUAAAUCCGGUGGAUACAAGGCGGUCAUCUUAAAAGCAAAAAAUUUAGUGAAGUCACUGCAGACAUUUGAAAUGGCAAAGCUAUUUGCUGAAAAAAAUCAGAAGAGACCAGUAUUAUGCAAUGACGGCUGGGAUUCCAUCUACAGGAUAUUGAUUCAACUGGUUGAGUUAAUGCCGUUCAUCCAAGAAAAUAUUCCAUCUGCGUGCGGUCAGCUCUCUCUCCAAGACCAGUGUGACAUGAAGGAAAUUAUAGUUUCCCUGAAGCCCUGUGCAACCGCCUCAAUGAAGCUCCUGUUAGAACCGCUGCCAUACAGUGAAGUUUUCACCAUUUUCACAGUGUGCAUCGCCAAAAUUGAAAUGCUUACGACUAAUGAAGUUUCCCAGUUCGCAUCACUCCUGUCAAACAAAAUCCGAACAAGAACAGAGCAAGUAUUUUCUCCAGAUCUCUUUGCUGCUGUAAUUCUAGAUAAACGAUUCAAGACAGUGCUUGAUGGUACCCAAGUCAGGAUGGGUACACAUCGUCUUUUAGAAAUUUGGGAAAGAAUUGUGGGCGCCGAUCAAAACAACACGCCAGACUUACAGCCUAUGGUAGAAGCACCAAUGGAGAUGGAUUCAGAAGACGAUGGGAUGAAAGACCUGAGCAUUUUGCGAGGUAUUAUGGAGCGCAACAAAUCAAACGAAUGUUGCUUCAAGUCUCCUACAUCUCUAAUGUUAGAGCCUAUUUGUGCCAAAAUUGAGACCUAUUUAAGGGAGAACAAUCUUGAAGCUAGUGAGAACAUAUUUAAGUAUUGGCAUGACUCCCAGUUUACGAAUCCGGAGCUUGCUUCCCUUGCAAAAAUUUUAUUAGCAGUGCCUGGAGAUGAACUCCUCCUUCAGAGGCUGAUAUCCAGCCUUCAAAUGAUUUACAGUGAACCUUCAAAUAAACCGGACUUCCAAUUACUGAAUGACAUUUUGUUCAUACGAAUGAAUUUUCCAAGACGUUUUGGUGAAGUCGAAUAACAUGUACUUGCAUCAGUUUUGUUCUCCUGAGUUGAAAUUUUUGAGAGGAUUUGUUCUCAUUACAGAUAGUUGCUUUUGAAUCAACCUCCCUCGAUUGCAUUUACCCUCAGGUAUUAAAUUUGACAAAGCUGUUGCCUAGAUUAAGGUUUUUGUGAUAGCUGACUGUGAUCUUAGGGUAAGAAUAUUUACAAAAUGUAUACAUGCAUUGGUCAACUUGCUAAGCCAGUCAUAUUAUUAAAUUGUUGAUGUAUUGUUUUCAUGUAUAUUUUGAGCCAACAUCUUAUCUUUACCACUUGUUUUGAUUAUCAAGAAUUUAAUUAAAUUUAAAGAACAGGAAACAUUUUACGACUGCAUGAUGCAAAAAAGAAUCGACUUUUUUACCAUUUAAAGAAAGACUCACAUGCAAUUUUCUGAUUCAGAGAGGUGCUCCUAUAAAUAAGUUCGGAAAAUUUAUUCCCUCCAAUUACAGCAUUUAAUUGAAAGACACUGUGAAGUGGUAUCAGAAUAUUUCUAAGAAUGUGCAACUCCUUGGUUCAUCAUUAAAUACCUAACUCAAAGCAGAUCAAUGUAUGAAAUUUGAAAAAUAAUUUUUCAUAUUCCAUUGAUAUUUCUUUUGUGAGCAAAUAAAAACCUUUGAGCUACAAAAUAAAGUAAGUUGCACUGUCUUAAUAGCAUUUCAUGGCUGAUGGUUGCUUUUUGCGAAGUGCAAUCCAUGUAAAUGUUGGACUGUCAAUUGGACAAGGCUCAGCGAAAGAAUGUCAUCUGCAUUCUGGUAAGCAUCAUCCAUCUUUUCAGCUUAUUGUUACUAGGGUUCUCCCAAUUGAAACAUUUGAGUUAGGAGUUGUAUUUUUUUCUAAAUUUCUUUGAAAAUUAAAGUAUUUUGCUUCUAAGAGAGUGAUUGAUUUGAUCCUCUACAGAUUUUUUUCUUUUGAUAAGUUCAUUUCAGGAAAUCCCUAAGAAAUACUUACAGUAAAUAUAAAAUUUUGAGGAUUUUUUCCUUCAACGAUGUACCUAUUAAUUUUUGUCUUUAUUUAAUUUGUUGGUUCAGGGAAACUGUUUUUUUUUUUUAUUCAUGGAAAUGUUUUAGGGGCAAUUAGUUGUUAAAAUUUAUGAUCAGGAUUUGCAACUAGUGAUUUUUUUCUUUUUCUCUCUAUUUUUUUUUUUUUUUUUUUCAUGAAUUUCUCAUUUAAAGAAUUAUUUUUUGUUUUUAAACUGCUUCUCCCCUUUAUUUCAUGUUUUCGCCCCCAAAUGAAUUUAAAAAUGAGAAUUAGUUACAGGGAAAACUAUUAAAAUUGCUGAGGGAAGUGAAUCCUGUUAGUUAAUUUGUUAAUUGUACCUCAUGAGUUUCUUUUUCAACCAAAAACUUACAAGAUAUGCCAUACUUGUUGUAAGUCCCAUAAAUAAGUGUAAUCUUGUGAGCAAUUUUUACUAGUCACCAAUCUUUAAACUGUUUGAUUACCAAACUUCAAUUUUUUCUUUUUUUUUGGGGGGGGGGAGGCAUUCUUAAUGAUCUUUACGUAUUUUUAGUGUAGCUAUGUAAUAAAAUAUGUAUCUUGAAACUUUUGUUUCAAAAACUGAUGUUUACCUUGUGCGAAAUUGAUUAGACUUUCUGUGGAUUUCUUAUGUUUACUCUUCAUGUGCUGACUUUCCUCAUUCGUUCAUGAUAAGACUGCUGUUUUUGUGUAAAACAAAAACAAAAAAUUAAUAUGUAUUGAAAAUUUGACAAAAUAAACAAUUUGAUCUCAUUACUUGUAGUCCUCCAUGAUCUUCUCAACUCUUUUCUGGCUUUCCGUUUCACAAUAGAUUUCUAUCAAAGAAUAGUGCGCCUGCACAUUCCUUGGAGUUGAUGGAAUUGGCAAUUAAAAUUGAGGACACCGCACCAAAACCAGCCUAUAACUGGAAACCGCGUUUUGAGAAAAACGCAUUUAAAGUUUUGUUUUCGAUGUACUGCACAGACUUUUCUAUGCAGGUACCCUGUUUUGGUGUUUUUGGGUGACCUAACCCUUCUAUUGAAAGAUGCCGGGUAGAUUUUGCGA